CCUACGGGAGGCAGCAGUGGGGGAUAUUUCACAAUGGGGGGAACCCUGAUGCAGCGACGCCGCGUGGGUGAAGAAGCGCCUCGGCGCGUAAAGCCCUGUCAGCAGGGAAGAAAAUGACGGUCCCUGAAGAAGAAGCCCCGGCUAACUACGUGCCAGCAGCCGCGGUAAUACGUAGGGGGCAAGCGUUAUCCGGAUUUACUGGGGGUAAGGGGGGCGCCAACGGCGAUGCAAGCCAGGAGUGAAAGCCCGGGGCCCAACCCCGGGACUGCCCUUGGAACGGCAUGGCUGGAGUGCAGGAGGGGCAGGCGGAAUUCCUGGUGUAGCGGUGAAAGGCGUAGAUAUCAGGAGGAACACCGGUGGCGAAGGCGGCCUGCUGGACUGCAACUGACGUUGAGGCCCGAAAGCGUGGGGAGCAAACAGGAUUAGAGACCCCGGUAGUC
rnacentral:rRNA from 1 species